ACACUCGCUGCGGCGCGGAGAUGCUCUCGGGGGUGGCGGUGCGGGGCAGCCCGGCGGCGACGACCUUCGCUGAGGACGUGCUGCGCGUCUUCGGGAGCAACCGGAGCCUGUCGGCCGGGCAGCUCUCGGCGUUACUGAGCCAGCUGGGCGCCGCGCCCGCGCUGAGCGCCGUGCUGCCGCUGCCCCACCUGCACCACAACCAGUGCCUGACUGGGGAGGAAAUUUUUUCUUUGCAUGGAAUACCAAACAAGAGUCACAUAUCAAAUUCAGACUUCUCUAUAAUAUGUCCUGCUGUUUUGCAACAGCUAAUUUUUCACCCGUGUGAUCAUCAGGAAAAUUCUGUGGAUGCAUCUAGACCACAUUCUUUACAAGUUUGGGGAUUUGGGUUCCUAGCUGUGACUAUCAUUAACUUGGCAUCGCUUCUGGGAUUUAUUUUAACUCCUCUCUUAAAGAAAUCUUAUUUCCCUAAGAUUUUAACCUACUUUGUGGGCUUGGCCGUCGGUACUCUCUUUUCUAAUGCAAUUUUCCAGCUCAUUCCAGAGGCAUUUGGAUUUGAUUCCCAUGUAGAUAACUACAUUGAGAAAGCAGUUGCUGUGUUUGGUGGAUUCUAUAUUCUCUUCUUUGUGGAAAGGAUUCUUAAAGUGAUACUAAAGAUCUAUAAUCAGGAUUUCAGCAUUACUGAGUAUUCUGAUGCAUCUGUUUCAAAUCCAUAUGGAGAGGUAAAGCAAUCUCACUUUUUUGAGGAAGUUACAAGCAGAGCUGGAAAUAGAAUCCAGCCUGGCCAUAAUGACGUAGAAAAUGGUGAAGAGAAUCAAUCUAAGGAUAAGACUAGUCCCUCCAAACCACCAUCAUCCAGCAAUGGGGUGACUUGUUAUGCAAAUUCAGCCAUUGUAGAGAGCAAUGGAAAUUUUGGUUUUGACAGCAUCAGUGUUGUCUCAGCACAGGAAGAAGCAGUCCAGGGCAGUUUGUGUAAAUGUCUCGGUGGGCGCCCACUGUCAAAGAUUGGAACCAUUGCUUGGAUGGUAACACUGAGUGAUGCCGUACAUAAUUUCUUAGAUGGUUUGGCAAUCGGUGCUUCUUUCACUUUGUCUCUGUUUCAAGGACUUAGUACCUCCAUAGCCAUCUUGUGUGAAGAGUUUCCUCACGAGCUGGGGGAUUUUGUCAUCUUGCUUAAUGCCGGAAUGAGUAUUCGACAGGCUCUGUUUUUCAACUUUCUGUCUGCAUGUUCCUGUUACAUUGGGAUGGCUCUUGGUAUAUUAGUAGGCAACAACUUCGCUCCUACCAUCAUUUUUGCUGUAGCUGGUGGAAUGUUCCUGUACAUCUCUCUGGCAGAUAUGGUUUUUGGAUUAUAUCAGCUACCUGUCUGAGCUUUUCUCCUCUCUGACAAGUCUGAAUUAGGGUGCUUUGCACGGGAUCUGCCUUUCUGCUUUCUGUUAUGAUUUUCACACACUUCUGUUCUGCUUGUAGAAGCAGGUGUGCCAAUGAUUUGCUAGGUUUUGCUGAUAUACAAAGCGAGGAAGAAACAGGAGCAAAAAUGGCUGUUUUGUUACAGAUAAGACUGCAGAAUAAUCUUUUAAAAUCUCUUAUUGAAUAAACCACUGAUUUACCUGCAGGUCAGCAUUCAGAGGAGACAUUGAGCUUUUGGUGUCAAAUCCUCCCUCAGCUGAGGAUCAGAGUGAUUAAGGGGAACAAGUCUUUGGCGUAGAACAAGGAAUUCCCUGGUUGCGUUCCCAACUGCUGGGCUUGGAACAGGAAGCUGCCUGUAACACUGGCACUGCUGUACUUGGUACAUUCAGACCUGAACUUCAGUGAAGCAGCAAAAGCAGAGAAUGAGGUGCCCUUUUACUGAGGCAAAGAAGCCGUUGCCUCCCACAUGGUAGUGCAGAGUGGACCCAGAUCCUGCCUGGAGGACCAAGAGGACUGACCCCAGCACGAUCCCCUCAACUCCUUUGCUAUGGAAGCAAACAACAGAUUUCAGAGAAAAACACCGGCACCAACGUGUUUCAUGAUGGAACAUAGUCAUGGUUGAAAUGAGUGUGAGAAACUCAACCGCGCAGUCCACCUGCUGGAUCAAAAGGUACGAUGGUCUGAGUGGUGAAAUACCUAAGAGCUUCUGUGUUGUUGUUUGUUUGGAAAAUUGGGGUAUUAGCAAUAGAAAUGCAGUAGUUGACUGUCUGCAAUCAUUAAACACUCAGAUUCCCCCACAACCUCUCUUAAGAAAAUACAGCAGUAGGAAUUGGUACUGGACUGCUAACAGACAACUCUCUUUUUUUCCCCAGAUUUGAUCUUUAACUGAUUUAUUUCUGUUAGGAACAGUCCAGUCCUCCCAGGCACAGUACACACUGAAUGUUCUCAUUGCUUUGAGGGAGGACACUGACGCUAUAAAUGUCAAACAUGGUUUCUCAGAGGAUUUCUGAACUUCACCACACGUAACGUCACGUCAGAAGGCCGGUAUUUUUAGCGUUACGAGAAUUAUGGAGAAGCUUGAACAAAUGAUGUUAGAAGAUAAGCAGCAGGAAAGGAGGUACGUGUUUUAUGGUGAGCACUGUACUCCAGUGAUGAGAGAGAAAUACAGUUCUCACUGGGUGAAACCACCCUCUCCUUUAUAUGUGGAAAAGGGUGGCAGGUAAGACCUUACUGGAGAGUAUCCAUUUUCAGUGCCAUCAAACAAACAAACAAACAAAUGCUACAAUUGAUAAAACAUGUCAUUCUCCAGUCUUGGAAAAGUUGGAAAAGCAAGUAAUUAGUUAUUUUGAUUCAAAACCUUAAUUACGUUUGUCUUCGGAGGUAAGCUGUAUCAUUUUGAUGCUGUGUACAAAUUGCAUAGCUCAAACAAUGCAAAAUAUUGCUCAUAACUGAAACUUUCAUUUUGAAAUUUUCAGUAUCCCUAUCAAGUUCUGAGCUUAUCUGAAAGAAAGCAAGGAAGCUGAAGAAGAAAAUACAACUUUUGGAGCUGCUCUGCCCUGACUGAUCUUGAGGAGACCAACAAACCAAAGAAAUGCAGUGCCUGUGAAAAUCAAGAUAUGAGCACGUGUCUCUGGGAGCAGAGGAGUAAUAGAGCAUCCACAAAAAUAGGCGAGUGCUGUGUGGGAGAAUGACAUGAGGCAUCUGAAAAGCUGGAAAUCACAAUCUGGAAGAAGAAAUUUUGCUGGAGGUUGCUUUUACUGGAGUGAUGACUGGCUGCAUGCAGUGCCUUAGAGGAGCGGGUCUGCUUAGCAAUGGGUGGUGAAGUUGUUAUUCCUUGGAUAUGAAGGCCACUUUCAGUGACAGAGAAACACUACUAGUGACCAGCUGUCUAAGUACCUAGUGAUUAUUUUUCAGUCCAGUUCCCUGUGAAAUUUCAGUGGAAAAAGCGCUUUGCCUUCCUUAACAGAGCACCUUGCCAGUCUUGACAAGGAGCUGGAGACUGAAUUGCCUGUUUGCCCCAUAGGUGUCACUGGAGGACUAAGCAUCUGAAGUGCUUCCUGAGAUCUACCUUCAUUUAAAAGUAUCAUGCUUCUGAUACGAUCUGUUUAAAUUCCAAAUCAAGUCUUCAAAAACAGCCUAUGAAGAUGAGUAUCCGAAUCCUGAUUUCAAACAUGGCAGCUGGUGCUAAAAGCCCAUGAUUUUAAAGUCUGCAGUCAUAUUCCAAAGCUGCCAAAUGCAAGCUCAAAGCUGCUGGAAUCACAGCAACCUUGAUCAGGAGGGACCAUAGGACGCUGCACAGAGACGAUUUUUCCCCUAUGCUAAGGAUGGAGAAGCUGGAAAGAAACAGCAGCCAGACAUUUCCCCAACCCUGGGUGAUGUGCUCAUAACACACAUCUCAGACCCAGCAGCCCCCUCUGCUUAGCCCUCAGCAUCAAGUGAACGAGAAAGGACCAUAACCACGUUGCCAUGUGGCAGCCAUCUUCACAGCUAUUCCUCCUGCUCUCUCACUCUUGGCAAACUUCAGCCAAGACAAUGCCCUCUGCCACUGGGUCUGCCACAGCUUUCCAGAAUGCAAAGGUGAGAGCCAGAUAGGCUCUAGCAGAUCUUUUCCAUUUGCACUCUCAGUACUUUCUGAAACACAGACAGUUUAGAAAACACUUUCUUUCAUACAGUUCCACCUGUAUCCCUGAGAUACAACCUAGUGACCAACCAUUCUGAUUAUAAGAAUUUUCUGACUCUCAAGUUUGCAUAUUACUCACAUAUUCUACAAUGUUAAAUAUUCAUCAAAGCACUGGGAGUGUUUAAGUAUUUAUUGCUUCUUUUUCUCAGGGUCCUGUAUGAGCACCUGGAGAAAGGACUGAAGAAGCCAACUUCAUAAAAUUGACUGCACGCAUCAGGACAGAAUCAACACUGCUGUUCAUUAUCUUUAUUAAUGUUAAACACUUGCACUACUCUAUUAUUUUUCUUGAUAACUCAAGCUUGCAAAAAAGUCUAGAUGAUGAGACAACGCAGAUUUCUCUAAAGCAUAAGCUUGGUGAAACUCAUUCAAUACAGUCACAAUCAAAGACAAAAAAGAAAAAAUCCACUUGGGAAUAAUCUGGUUUCAAAGCCCUAGUUCUGCCGGGCAGGUGGGAAGAGAGGGGGUGGAGAGCGGUUUUGCUGCACAUGUUCUGCCAUGAAAUGCUGAAACAGAACAUGGUUUUAGAGCAGCGUGGGCUAAGAAGCCUGGGGGCUGGAUCCAGCCUUUGAAACAUUUGAUCUUGACCUUCUGAUCUCAGCAAGACUCGUCUUAGACAAAGACAAGAACAGCAGCAUUAUCCUGGCAGCCCAAAAGGUUGCUUUCUCCUGCUUGCCCCCUAACUACUGGAACGAGCUGCUAGGCAGCGAUGAACCCAGCCUUCUCAAGCAGCAGUGUGGCUGAGCCAUCCCUGAUGCACUUGGUGUUGCUGUGUGCAGGGAGGCCCUCAGCUCCUUUCUCCAUUUCACCAGGGAUGCAGGAGCAGGCAGGCCCCAGUGUCUCUGCGCUGUGCUGCUCUCACACACAUCUUAGGCUGUGCUCGGGACAACACAGAAAAUGCAGUGGUGUUGACACCUCUGAAAUACGACCCUUACCCUCAGCAGUACAGACAAAUUUCUUUCAAAGGCUUUUUCCUGUUACUUAAGACUGCAGCACCAUCUUUCCCUGAGCACAGAUUUUUCUUUUUAAGUCAUGCCUGUGUAUAAUUUAUUUAUCUAUAUAUAUAUUCCAGUUUCACUGGCCAGUUUCCUGCUUUACUCAGUUCACAUCAAGAGUACCACAAAUCUAAUGGACCACCAUGUUUAACUGCUGACAAAACUAUUCUUAAAAACUGAAAAAAACCCAACCCUAUACUAAAUUAGGUAGAAAAGAAAGUAUGACAACAGAAUGACAGUAAAAAUAUUGUGAUAUUCACAGCAAUUAGUAAAAUUCCUUCUGCAUACAGUUUGCCAGAAGUUCCAGCAGCUACUGUAUCUUCUCCAAUACUAAAAGAUAAUGAAGUGUUAGAUCCUCAUGUCAUUAUGCUAGAGGCGUAUUAAGGCACGCAACUGUCAAAGAUGCACGAUUAUACAGAACAAAAGAAAUGAGACAUGAAACACUCCACUGCCAAAGUGUAAUGAUUUUGGGAUCAGGUUGAAGUAAAUAUAUGACUCAGAUGAUCUCAGCCUAUUAAGAAAAUAAACAAAACUAAAACAUCAAUGGAUACCCAACUUUUGGUUCAUCUGUUUUAACGCAAGCAAAAGAACUGCAUCAUUUGAAGUAAUCUAUUGUAAUCUUAUGUAAUAGCCUUUUGGGCUCUCAUACUAAACCAUUCCAUUUGUGUGUCUGCCUAUAACUUUAUCUCAAACAGAUUUACUGCACCACGUAUCAGCCAGCUAACAUUCCUGAGUUGAUCCUUAUUUGCAUCUUUAUUUCAUCUAACUUCACACUUACUCCGUAUGCCUGUCUAUCAAUCCUCCUGAAACUUCUGAAACUGAAUUUCUGGAUAAAAAGAAAAAAAGCUCUGCCUUUGUACCAUUUCAUCACCAUGGAGGAACAACCAAUAAACAACACCACCAUCAUCAAGCUAAGUAAAAGCGCAGUGCAUAUAUCUGUAACUGCA